GCCUGGCUGGCUCAGCUGGUGGAACAUGCGACUCUUGAUCUCAGGUCGUGAGUUUGAGCCCCACGUUGGGCA
rnacentral:tRNA from 1 species